UGGUAUGUCAACUUUAUGGUUAGGGUGAGUUUCGAACGCAUUUGCUUUACAAGGAUUGGAAAAUUCAAUUUACAUGGAUUUGCAAGUUAAAAAUGCGUUUGAUUUGCAUUGUCAAGCUAUGGAGUGUUCAGUGAACGGCGCUACAUUAAUGCAGGUCACUUCGUCCCCAGCUUAAAGAGCUGGCACCGGCCAGCUGCUCCACGCGCUCGUGCAGGUGCUGGCGGUCCCCGCUCUGUGAUUGGUGGAGCUGGUCCCGCGCUGAUCUCGCGGUGUUUGUGUUUUGGCGCCUUGGCAGGCGGCAGGUGGUGGGCGCCGGGCGCCAUGUUGGAGGAAUUCUAUUCGGAUUUCUUCCCGGCGCCUCUCACUCGCCUGGCGGCCCCGCAGUUGCGGGAGUCCUGCGAGCAGCCUGCGGCGAGCCGUCGGGCCUCGGAGGCGGUGCGGAGGGCGGGAGUGGCGGCGCCUUUGUUCCGGGAGCCGUUUGUGAAGGAGGCCCUCAGUCCCGAGGAUGGAGGGAGUCCGGCUCACAGCGGGAAAACGGGCGGGUCGGCCGGGCCGGGCCUGUCUGUGGAGAGCGGAGACCAGGCCGCCGCCGGGAAGGUGCCAGGGCCGAGGUGUUGGGCCGCUCCCCCACCCAAGGCUGCCAGUGAUCGGACACCGAGCCCCGACCUUGUGGUCCCGGAUUCCGAUGACAUGGAGGAAGCCGAGGAAAACCGAUCCAAGUGGGAGCGACCCCGCUGCCCUCCUGCUGCUAUCAGGGAGGGCCCCCCAAUCACAUCCCUCAGGACCCAGGGGGCAGAUGAUGCAAGCGCCAGGUUGGUACCAGCAGCAAGAGAGGCCCCAAACCACAAGGAGGAUUUGAUGGGCCCAGCCAGACUUGCAGUUUCCCAGGAGAAUGAAGCAGUGUCUGGAGAUUGCGGGGUCUCUUCCUUCCCCCAUUCUGUAACUGAGCUGCAAGACCAAGUGGUGAUUGAGUACUGGCUUCCUGAAGAAUAAAGAAAUGGUGCCCACCAUUCAUGACAUUUAAUAAUAAAUCUAUUAUAGGUAGCUUAUCUUAUAUGUCAGUGAUAAUGCUUCAAGUACUGCCAGCCAUUAUAGCCAGAACAGCUACAAAAAAGUCACAUUUUGGAAAUCAGUCAGGUGAUAUUGGUGAUUGAAAUCUUAAAACUAUUUAACUGUCUGGAGGCUCGGGCUGUCAGAACAUUGAAAUUCUAUCUACCAACGCAUUGACAGCCUUACUAUUGUGAACAAUGUAGAGCUAUUUGAAUUUGAGAGUCUUGCUGAAUGACCAGUUGGAAUUCAAAUUGCUAUUGAUAGAAAAUAGUAUGACAUCCAAGUGGUAUGCAACCCUUAUAGGAAAGUAUGGUUAUAUUUAUUAACCAGUGAUAUAAAAUAUUUAAUUAACUGGCAAAAGCCAGCAGUUCUGUUAGGGUAUAGCAGUCAUGUUAAUUUCUACAUUUGUUAUUUCUAACCAUUCCGUCUCGCUUUCAAUGAAAACAGUUGAAUUUGUUGCAAUUGGGCAGUCACUUGACACAAGAUCGGUAUCUUUGUUACUUCAUUUAAUAUUUUGUUUUAUGCUUGGCAUAGAACAUUGCAAUUUAAACUGCACUUUUCAUGUUGCAUUUCAACUUUUCAAAUUCUAAUAUAUAAUCCAUGCUAUUUUUGUUAGCAAAGUGUUAAUUUAUUCCAUGUGCAGAUGGUUAAUAUUCAAAAUGUGUGAAUGUUAGAUAUCUUAGUAAAUAUCUGAAUGUGAUUAAGAUUUGACAUUAGCUUACUUCCUAUUAGUACGAUGUGUAAAAUUAUAGUCUAUACAGUGCUUGACAACUAAUUCAUUUUAAAAUGUCAUUAUGAUCUGUUGAAAGAAAUUGACAUAAUAUCUCAAGAGCUGAAGUACCUGAUCAACAACUCGUCAAGAAGGCUUGAUAAUAUUGUCCAUUUCUACACUUAGUUAUGUUUCAACCAUCUGCUGAACCAGGCUAUUGCACCGACGAAGCUUAAGCAAAUUGGUUAUAACGAAGACUUCUGCAUCAGUAGCUUAGCCAUUUUACACAGCACUUAUCUACCAAGUGAUAGAAUGUUAAAAUUCUGGUUGGUACACAAUGAGCAAAGUAUGCUCUUAGACACAGUCAAAAACUAUAAACAUCACUGACCUUGAUGAAGGUGACCACCUUUGCUCCUGAGUUCAUCUUUUAUAUCUUUGAAGAGAUUUACUCAACUGCCAGUUGAGACUGGAACAUCAUCACAUAUAUUCCUAUGCUGAAAGACCUGCUGAGUUUCUUC